CAGGAGGCUGGACGGUCAUGAGUGUUUCCGGCUUCACAGGACUGGAGGUAGAUAAAGGCUUGAACUGAUGCCUGGCUUCCUCUCCCACUUCUGGGGAGCAAUGCACCUUCAGGAUUUGCCCCCACCCAUGUGAACAGAGGAGCACGCCAGGCAAAGUACCUGGCACACUCCUCUCUGGCCUUGGAAGCAGCAGUCUCCUGGAAGAGGGAGCCAAUGUGCUUGAAGAAGGGUGCAUACUUCCCUGUGUCAGGCCCAGGGUAGAUCCUCCGGUAUCCCCCCAGGUGGGAAUCCUCAUAUUGUUCCUGGUCCAGCAUUGCUGCAUGAGAUGACUCAGUUUGUUCUCGCCUGUGGAAACCAAGCUCAGGAACCUCAGCACUUGUGGCAGUGGAAGAGGAGAGGGUGCUGCCCUGCCCCUUACCAGGUUGCUGUGGCUGGGCUCCACGUAGGGCAUGGUGGCAAACCGGGCCAGGCCCUCCUCAUACACGAAGAUCCGAAGAGGGUCACAGGACGUGAUCAGGACGUAGAUUCGCAUAUCAAACUUGAAGCCGUCGAUGAGGAAGGGCUGAGAGCGUGCAAACCCGUGAGGGAAUAAUAACAACACUUUUGAAAUGCUUACUGUGUGCCAGACGCUGUUGUAAGUGCGUCAAACACAUAACAACUCAUUGAAUUUUCACAACAACCAGGACCAGUCCUAAAACAAUCGUUGAUGCAGGAGAGCACAAGCAAAUAAUGAGAAGAAAACAUUUCCCAAGAGACAAAAAAGGGAAAAGAAAACUAGGAACUGGCCCCAGGGAGUGCAGGGCCAUGGUGCCUGCCAGAGGCCCCUCCGCUGUCCUCUGUCCCCUGAUGGCUGAAGUGCUCUAUCCUGGCGCUCCCAACCACUGGCUGACUAGCAGUGUGAAUUUGAACCUCGGUAUCCUCCUCUUCCUUUUUUUUUUUUUUGUCUCCCUGCCUUCUUAACAAAGGGCUAUCUGUGCUCGGGGCUGUUCUUGAGGGUUUCCUGAGGUGACAGUGUAAAAGUGCUCAGCACAGUAAGCCCUCAGUGAGUGCUGCUAAGUAUCUUCAUCCUCAUCUUCCAAAUGCCCUGUGUGCCUCUUCUCUGAAGCUUCUUGAAUACUUCUAGCACUUUCUCUCUUGGGCACCUCUCCCAAGACUAGCUGUGGGACAGGUUACAGUCUCCUCAACUCCCUCCUUCCUGACUUCCCCCUAAAAUAAGCCUGCAUACGCCUUUAAAUUAUUUUAUUGCUAAUCACCACAAACACCCAAUUAGAGGACAAUAAAAAUAAAAAGCAG